rnacentral:rRNA from 1 species
AGAGUUUGAUCCUGGCUCAGGAUUAACGCUGGCGGCGUGCAUAACACAUGCAAGUCGAACGAUGAAACUUAGUAGAUUUCUUCGGAAUGAAGCUAAGUGGAUUAGUGGCGGACGGGUGAGUAACACGUGAGUAACCUGCCUUACACAAGGGGAUAGCCAUUGGAAACGAUGAAUAAUACCCUAUGAAGUAGCCUAAUCGCAUGGUUAAGCUACCAAAGUGCUUAGUGGUGUAAGAUGGACUUGCGUCUGAUUAGCUAGUUGGUGAGAUAAAAGCCCACCAAGGCGACGAUCAGUAGCCGGCUUGAGAGAGUGUGCGGCCACAUUGGGACUGAGACACGGCCCAAACUCCUACGGAAGGCAGCAGUGGGGAAUUUUGCACAAUGGGGGAAACCCUGAUGCAACGACGCCGCGUGAUUUAGAAAGUCUUCGGAUUGUAAAAAUCUUUUGUAUAGGAAGAAAAUGACAGUACUAUACGAAUAAGGUCCGGCUAAUUACGUG